UGGGCAACCUGCCCCUCUCUCUGGGAUAACCCCCGGGAAACCGGAGCUAAGUACCGGAUACGAGACCGAGUGGCAUCACACGGUCUGGAAAGUUUUUCGGUUAGGGAUGGGGUCGCGGCCUAUCAGCUUGUUGGUGGGUAAUGGCCUACCAAGGCGACGACGGGUAGCCGGCCUGAGAGGGCGAUCGGCCACACUGGGACUGAGACACGGCCCAGACUCCUACGGGAGGCA
rnacentral:rRNA from 1 species